rnacentral:rRNA from 1 species
UAAGGAAUAUUGGUCAAUGGACGCAAGUCUGAACCAGCCAUGCCGCGUGAAGGAUGAAGGUCCUCUGGAUUGUAAACUUCUUUUAUCUGGGACGAAAACGGGAUUUUUAUCUCAAUUGACGGUACCAGAGGAAUAAGCACCGGCUAACUCCGUGCCAGCAGCCGCGGUAAUACGGAGUGUGCGUGCGUUAUCCGGAUUUACUGGGUUUAAAGGGUGCGUAGGUGGGCGUAUAAGUCAGUGGUGAAAUCUCCGAGCUUAACUUGGAAAAUUCCGUUGAUACUCUAUAUCGUGAAUACCGUAGAGGUAAGCGGAAUAUGUCAUAUAGCUGUGAAAUGCUUAGAUAUGACAUGGAACACAAAUUGCGAAGGCAGCUUACUAUGCGGUGAUUGACACUGAGUCACGAAAGCGUGGGUAGCAAACA